rnacentral:misc_RNA from 1 species
AAGUCGUAACAAGGUCUCCGUUGGUGAACCAGCGGAGGGAUCAUUAAAAAAGAGUUAUAAAACUCGUUAAACCACUGUGAACAUACCUGUUUGUCUGUUUCUUCGGCAGGCGGCUCCAGGGCGGAGCCUGAAGGUCGGGGGAAUCGGCCUGCCGAAGGGACGCCAAAACUCUGUCUUAAUUAUUGCCGUCUGAGUUAACAAGCUAUAAAACGCAAGUAAAAACUUUCAACAACGGAUCUCUUGGUUCUG